AAAAAUAGGUUAGUCUUCUAUUGCAACUCAUCACAGGUGAAAUGUAAAGAGGAAUAAACUGGCAGGAAGGAUGCAGUGCUGCAGAUGUAAAGAUGUAAAGAUGUACAAUUGAUUCAGUAAAUUUAUUUUAAGUGUU